rnacentral:rRNA from 1 species
CACAAGCUUUCCGUAGGUGAACCUGCGGAAGGAUCAUUGUCGUGACCCUGACCAAAACAGACUGCGCACGCGUCAUCCAAUCCGUCGGCGACGGCACCGUCCGUCGCUCGGCCAAUGCCUCGACCACCUCCCCUCCUCGGAGCGGGUGGGGGCUCGGGGUAAAACAACCCACGGCGCCGAAGGCGUCAAGGAACACUGUGCCUAACCCGGGGGCAUGUCUAGCUUGCUAGCCGUCCCUCGUGUUGCAAAUCUAUUUAAUCCACACGACUCUCGGCAACGGAUAUCUCGGCUCUCGCAUCGAUGAAGAACGUAGCGAAAUGCGAUACCUGGUGUGAAUUGCAGAAUCCCGCGAACCAUCGAGUCUUUGAACGCAAGUUGCGCCCGAGGCCACUCGGCCGAGGGCACGCCUGCCUGGGCGUCACGCCAAAACACGCUCCCAACCACUCUCAACGGGAAUCGGGAUGCGACAUCUGGUCCCUCGUCUCUCAAGGGACGGUGGACCGAAGAUUGGGCUGCCGGCGUACCGCGCCGGACACAGCGCAUGGUGGGCGUCCUCGCUUUAUCAAUGCAGUGCAUCCGGCGCGCAGCUGGCAUUAUGGCCUUUGAACGACCCAACAAACGAAGCGCACGUCGCUUCGACCGCGACCCCAGGUCAGGCGGGACUACCCGCUGAGUUUAAGCAUAUCAAUAAGCGGAGGAGGAUCCGUG